rnacentral:rRNA from 1 species
UACGAAGGGUGCAAGCGUUAUUCGGAAUCAUUGGGCGUAAAGCGCGCGCAGGCGGAUCAGCAAGUCAGGUGUGAAAUCUCGGGGCUCAACCCCGAAACUGCGCCUGAAACUGCUAGUCUAGAAUGUCGGAGGGGGCAGGGGAAUUUCACGUGUAGGGGUAAAAUCCGUAGAGAUGUGAAGGAACACCGGAGGCGAAGGCGCCUGCCUGGACGACUAUUGACGCUGAGGCGCGAAAGCGUGGGGAGCAAACAGG